GAGUCCACCCACGUGGCAACACCACAGAUGUGGCAGCGACAGAGGCAGCUCAAGGAGCGGGGAGCCGGGCCGGGAGCCACCUGCGACGUCGACGGGCACCCAGCACGGCAACGUGUGCAAAUGUGAGAGGGGGGAUCUGAUGGAGAAGAGGAAU